rnacentral:snoRNA from 1 species
CCUGAAAGUCUACCCUAGUGGGACUUUUCCUGUAGCCUACACAUCGUUGGAAAAGUCUCAUAGAGUAACUGUGGUUUUAUUUUACUCACAGGACUCUUGCUAGAUCUGCAGAAGGAACUACAAGACAGUU